rnacentral:rRNA from 1 species
AGUAUGUGGUUUAAUUCGAUGACAACGCGAAGAACCUUACCGUAGGUUUGACAUCCGGAAACCUACCGAAAGGAAGGGUGCCCUUCGGGGAAUUCCGAGACAGGUGCUGCAUGGCUGUCGUCAGCUCGUGCCGUGAGGUGUUGGGUUAAGUCCCGCAACGAGCGCAACCCUAUUGCCAGUUGCUACCAGGUAAUGCUGGGCACUCUGGUGAGACUGCCCCGGUUAACGGGAGGAAGGUGGGGACGACGUCAAGUCAUCAUGGCCCUUACGCCUAGGGCUACACGCGUACUACAAUGGCGCAUACAAAGGGCAGCGAUACCGCGAGGUGGAGCCAAUCCCAAAAAGUGCGCCCCAGUCCGGAUUGCAGUCUGCAACUCGACUGCAUGAAGUUGGAAUCGCUAGUAAUUCGAGAUCAGCAUGCUCGGGUGAAUGCGUUCCCGGGCCUU